rnacentral:rRNA from 1 species
CCCGCUGAACUUAAGCAUAUCAAUAAGCGGAGGAAAAGAAACUAACAAGGAUUCCCCUAGUAACUGCGAGUGAAGCGGGAAAAGCUCAAAUUUAAAAUCUGGCGGUCCUUGUGGCCGUCCGAGUUGUAAUUUAGAGAAGUGUUAUCCGCGCUGGACCGUGUACAAGUCUCCUGGAAUGGAGCGUCAUAGAGGGUGAGAAUCCCGUCUUUGACACGGACUGCCAGGGCAUUGUGAUACGCUCUCAAAGAGUCGAGUUGUUUGGGAAUGCAGCUCAAAAUGGGUGGUAAAUUCCAUCUAAAGCUAAAUAUUGGGGAGAGACCGAUAGCGAACAAGUACCGUGAGGGAAAGAUGAAAAGACUUUGAAAAGAGAGUUAAACAGUACGUGAAAUUGCUGAAAGGGAAACGCUUGAAGUCAGUCGCGUCGCUCAGGACUCAGCCUUGGCUUUGCUUGUUGUACUUCCUGUUCGAUGGGUCAGCAUCAAUUUUGGUCGGUGGAUAAAGGCUCAGAGAAUGUGGCAUCUUCGGGUGUGUUAUAGCUCUGGGUUGUAUACAUCGGCUGGGAUUGAGGAACUCAGCACGCCGCAAGGCCGGGUACUUGUACCACGUACGUGCUUAGGAUGCUGGCAUAAUGGCUUUAAUCGACCCGUCUUGAAACACGG